UACGAAGGGUGCAAGCGUUGCUCGGAAUUAUUGGGCGUAAAGGGUAGGUAGGUGGUUACGUAUGUCUGAGGUGAAAGCCCCAAGCUUAACUUGGGAAGUGCCCCGGAAACGGCGUAACUAGAGUACUGGAGAGGUUUGUAGAAUUCCCGGUGUAGCGGUGAAAUGCGUAGAGAUCGGGAGGAAUACCAGAGGCGAAGGCGGCAAACUGGACAGUAACUGACACUAAACUACGAAAGCGUGGGGAGCAAACAGG
rnacentral:rRNA from 1 species